CCUACGGGUGGCAGCAGUGGGGAAUAUUGGACAAUGGGCGAAAGCCUGAUCCAGCCAUGCCGCGUGUGUGAAGAAGGCCUUCGGGUUGUAAAGCACUUUCAGUGGGGAAGAAAGCCUUGGGGCUAAUACCCUCGAGGAAGGACAUCACCCACAGAAGAAGCACCGGCUAACUCCGUGCCAGCAGCCGCGGUAAUACGGAGGGUGCGAGCGUUAAUCGGAAUUACUGGGCGUAAAGCGCGCGUAGGCGGUCUGAUAAGCCGGUUGGGAAAGCCCCGGGCUCAACCUGGGAACGGCAUCCGGAACUGUCAGGCUAGAGGGCAGGAGAGGAAGGUAGAAUUCCCGGUGUAGCGGUGAAAUGCGGAGAGAUCGGGAGGAAUACCAGUGGCGAAGGCGGUCUUCUGGACUGACACUGACGCUGGGGUGCGAAAGCGUGGGUAGCAAACAGGAUUAGAUACCCGUGUAGUC
rnacentral:rRNA from 1 species